rnacentral:rRNA from 1 species
CUCAGAACGAACGCUGGCGGCGUGGAUAAGACAUGCAAGUCGAGCGCUGAUUACGGGGUAGCAAUAUUCCGUGGUCGGAGCGGCGCAAGGGUGCGUAACACGUGGGUAAUUUGCCAUGAAGUCUGGAAUAACUUGCUGAAAGGCGAGCUAAUGCCGGAUGUGAAAGUUGGGAGGCAUCUUCUGAUUUUCAAAGUUGGGGACCGUAAGGCCUGACGCUUCAUGAUAAGCCCGCGGCCUAUCAGCUAGUUGGUGAGGUAACGGCCCACCAAGGCUAAGACGGGUAGCUGGUCUGAGAGGACGACCAGCCACACUGGAACUGAGACACGGUCCAGACACCUACGGGUGGCAGCAGUCGAGAAUUUUUCACAAUGGGCGAAAGCCUGAUGGAGCGACGCCGCGUGGGGGAUGAAUGGCUUCGGCCCGUAAACCCCUGUCAUUCGGGAUCAAUGCGUUUGGGUGAACAUCCCAAACGUUGAUAGUACCGGAAGAGGAAGGGACGGCUAACUCUGUGCCAGCAGCCGCGGUAAUACAGAGGUCCCAAGCGUUGUUCGGAUUUACUGGGCGUAAAGGGUGCGUAGGUGGUUGGAUAAGUCUGAUGUGAAAUCUCGGAGCUUAACUCCGAAACGGCAUUGGAUACUAUCUAGCUUGAGAGUUGGAGGGGGGACUGGAAUUCUCGGUGUAGCAGUGAAAUGCGUAGAUAUCGAGAGGAACACCAGUGGCGAAGGCGAGUCCCUGGACAACUUCUGACACUGAGGCACGAAAGCCAGGGGAGCAAACGGGAUUAGAUACCCUGGUAGUCCCGGCCCUAAACGAUGAUUGCUUGGUGUGAUCGGUACCCAAUCCGAUUGUGCCGCAGCUAACGCGAUAAGCAAUCCGCCUGGGGAGUACGGUCGCAAGGCUGAA